AUGGGGGCCAGUCGGAAGCUGCAGGGCGAGAUCGACCGCGUCCUCAAGAAGGUGCAGGAGGGCGUCGACGUCUUCGACAGCAUCUGGAACAAGGUCUACGACACCGAGAAUGCGAACCAGAAGGAGAAGUUCGAGGCGGACCUCAAGAAGGAGAUCAAGAAGCUGCAGCGCUACCGCGACCAGAUCAAGACCUGGAUCCAGUCCAGCGAGAUCAAGGACAAGAAGGUUAGUGCCUCUUAUGAGCAGGCUCUCAUGGAUGCCCGCAAGCAGAUUGAACGCGAGAUGGAACGGUUUAAGGUCUGUGAGAAGGAAACUAAAACCAAGGCCUUCUCGAAAGAAGGGUUAGGUCAACAGCCGAAAACUGAUCCUAGAGAGAAGGCUAAAGCUGAAACAAGAGAUUGGCUUAACAGUGUGGUUAGUGAUUUGGAAAAUCAGAUUGAUAAUUUUGAAGCGGAGCUUGAAGGACUUUCAUUUAAGAAAGGAAAGCAAAGACCUCCUCGAUUGGUACAUUUAGAGAAAUCUAUUACGCGGCAUAAGGCUCAUAUAAAAAAAUUGGAGUCAAUUCUGAGACUCUUGGAUAAUGAUGAGUUGAGUCCUGAGCAAGUCAAUGAUGUGAAAGAUUUCCUAGAAGACUAUGUUGAACGUAAUCAGGAAGAUUUUGAUGAAUUUAGUGAUGUUGAGGAUCUCUAUAGCACAUUGCCUAUGGAGAAGGUUGAAGCACUCGAAGACAUGGUUUCACUUGCUCCUUCCAUUCUUAUCAAGGGUGUUGCUGCUGUUUCCACUACUGCAGUUUUGAGUACAAAGAGUCCGACAGCAACUUCACCUACUCAGGCUACUGUAUCAACAAUCUCACAAGGGACAUCACAAGAUCAAGCAGAGGAAACAACUACGCUAGAAAGCAAUCCUGAAUCGGUGCCACAAACACCACCUCCGAAGGGUGGAAAUCUGGGACCAUCAGUGCCAGUUGUGCCCACUGCCAUUAGUACUAGUGCUGCAGCUGUUUCCGUUUCGGCAGAUACUAUUACUUCCCCAGGCCCAGUACGACCAGUUAUUCCUGCCACAGCACCCACAAUAUUUGCUCCUUCUGCUGCUGUUCGAAAUGCUCCAGAGAGCAUGCCUGCUGUUGCUUCAACUCCUGCAAACUUAUCUACUGCCGUGAAGGAUGAUGAAAGCAUGAGCUUUCCUCCACGUAGACCGUCUCCCGCAGUUACUGAAAUUGGUCUUGGCAGGGGUAUUACCCGUGGCUUAACUAGUCAGGCAUUAGCUGCUCCCAUAAGUGUAGGUCCAGUUCCAGGAAAUGGGUCCAUUACUGCAAUUCCUCCAAUAAAUGACCUGUCCAAACGAAACAUAAUGAAUACCGAUGAGAGGGUUAACAGUGGUGGUGUUUCUCAGCAAUUGGUUUCACCUCUUGGUAGUAAAGUUCAACCACAGCCGGUUCUGAAGACUAACGAUGCAGUUAGCUCUGAUUCCAGUAACACCAGUGAAAGUGCGGUUAUUGGAGGAAGGGUAUUUUCUCCUCCGGUUGUUCCUGGGGCUCAGUGGAGGCCUCAAGCUCCUGCUGGUUUCCAAAAUCAAAGUGAAACUGGUCAAUUUCGUGGAAGACCUGAGGUCACCGACCAAAGGGAGAAGUACUUGCAAAGAUUGCAACAAGUACAGCAGCAGCAGGGCAACCUUCUUAACGCUUCUCAUAUAACGGGCAUCAAUCAGAAGCAAUUUUCAACCCAGCAGGCCAAUUCCCUCUUGCAACAGUUUAAUUCUCAGAGUUCUUCUAUCUCUUCUCAAGGGGGCCUUGGGCUAGGGGUUCAGGGACCAGGUAUCCCUUCUGCCUUCUCAUCUCAGCUGCAACCUCAUGAAUCCCAAAUUCUCGAGCAAUACGCUGGGCAAACAAAAAGUGAUGAGCAACAAGGCUUGGCCGAUGAUGCUAGUGUGGAGUCUGCUGCAACAACUGGACCGAAUAAGCACACCAAUGAGGAUGACACAAAGGCUCCUUAUUCGAAUCCUCCAGCAUCCAUAGCAGAAGGCACCCAGCUAUCUAGAGACUCUGAUCUAUCACCCGGGCAGCCUAUGCAAGCUGGCAUGCCAUCAUCUGGUGUUGGUGUUAUUGGCCGGAGGAGUGUAUCUGAUUUUGGAGCAAUUGGAGACAAUCUCAGUGGAGCUUCGGUAGUUUCGGGUCACGAUCACCUUUAUAAUUUGCAAAUGCUCGAAGCUGCAUACCACAGGCUUCCCCAGCCCAAGGACUCUGAGCGUGCGAAAACUUAUAUUCCGAGGCACCCUUCAGUGACCCCUGCCAGUUACCCACAGAUUCAGGCACCAAUUGUGACAAAUCCUGCUUUCUGGGAAAGGCUCGGUAGUGAUACAUUGUCUACAGAUAUGUUAUUCUUUGCAUUCUACUAUCAGCAGAACUCGUACCAACAAUAUUUGGCCGCCAAAGAACUAAAAAAGCAGUCAUGGAGAUUUCACAGGAAGUACAAUACUUGGUUCCAACGGCAUGUGGAGCCACAGGUUACGACAGAUGAGUAUGAGCGGGGAUCAUAUGUGUACUUUGAUUUUCAUCUUGCAGAUGAUGGCAACGGGUGGUGCCAAAGGAUCAAGAAUGACUUCACAUUUGAAUACAACUUCCUUGAGGAUGAACUGUCAGUACAGCCAAACUAG
rnacentral:rRNA from 1 species